rnacentral:lncRNA from 1 species
AUGCGACUUCACGGGUGGUUUUGCACCCUCCCGCGCGGCCGCAGCUCCCCCCGGCGGCCCCGCAACCAGGCGGAUAACCCUUACCGCGGCCGCCCGCCCCGCGUUUGCAGCCCCCAUGACGUCAGGCCCGGCCGCCAAUGGCCGCGUGCGGGGGUGUCGGGGGCUCCAGGCCGCACAAUGGCCGCGCGCGGGGACAUAUGUCCUCAAUUAGGACCCCGAGCUGCCAUUGUCCCCUCCGUCCCCGCGCCGGCCGGGUGGGGAGCCCACGCUCGGAGCGCCUCCGCGCGCCCGCCGUCGCCGAGGGCCGAGGUGGCGGCGGCUCCGGGGAGGGUCCGGGCGCGGCCGGGCUGGGGCGCGUGCAGGGGGUGCGCGCGCCCGGCGCUCCUCGCGGUGACCUUGCGCAGGCGGCGCGGCGGGGGCGCGGGCGGCGGGCGGGGGCGCGCGGCGGGGGCGCGGCGGCGGGCGGGGGCGCGCCGGGGUGCGGUGCCGAGCCCCGCGGCUGCCGUGUGCGCGGCCGGGCCCGCAGCCCCGCUUUGUGGCCUCGGCCCGGCUGCGUAUUCGUCCUGCGUGGCGGGCGCUCCCGAGGGGCGGGGGCGGGGCGCCGCCAACCCCCUUAUCGCGGAGCCGCAGCCGGCGCGGCCCGACGCGGGGGCGGGGCGGGGACACCCCCCCCCCCGCAGAGCCUGUGUUCCCGGCGCCCUCUCAGGGGGGCCCGGCCGAGGCGCAGCCGGAGGCGCGGGGCCAAUUAGCAUUUUGAUUGCGGGACUGGGGGCCCAUCUGGACCGAGGCCUAAUUACCGGGCAAACCCUCCGGGCGCGGGCGGGACGUGCCCUGCCGGUCCCUUCACCGGCGCCGCCGCCCCGCCCCUCCGGCGGCUCCCGUGCCCCCCGCGCGGCCCAGGCGGCCUAUCCCUCGGCUCGCUCUCGCGCCCUGCCCGCCGUCCACGGCCCCUGGCUGCCCCUUCACCUCUGUCGUCAUUUAUCUACUCCUCCAGCCCCUGGCUGGCCGUCCGCGUGCCUGCCCCUCUGUCAGCUUCCCCGCCCCCCACCCCGCUCCCAACCCUCUUGA